ACGGAGGGUGCAAGCGUUAUCCGGAUUCACUGGGUUUAAAGGGUGCGUAGGUGGGUUGGUAAGUCAGUGGUGAAAUCCCCGAGCUUAACUCGGGAACUGCCAUUGAUACUAUCAGUCUUGAAUACCGUGGAGGUCAGCAGAAUAUGUCAUGUAGCGGUGAAAUGCUUAGAUAUGACAUAGAAUACCAAUUGCGAAGGCAGCUGACUACCCGAAUAUUGACACUGAGGCACGAAAGCGUGGGGAUCAAACAGGAUUAGAUACCCUGGUAGUCCACGCCCUAAACUAUGGAUACUCGACAUAUGCGAUACACUGUAUGUGUCUGAGCGAAAGCAUUAAGUAUCCCACCUGGGAAGUACGACCGCAAGGUUG
rnacentral:rRNA from 1 species